rnacentral:lncRNA from 1 species
GAACCUGCAACAACAUUCAUGGAAGCCCUCCUAUACUUGAAACUGCAAGACUUCAAAUUCUGAUAAAAAUCCGUGUUCUCUGCUGCCAUAAUUCUUUUGUUAAGCGUUGAUUGUAUAGACUCUGCUUCAAUCACAUCAUCACAAAGACGCCUAAGAAUUUCAAUCUUCAAAUAAGCUAGUUGCUUGUAGUAAUCCCUCUCAAAUCAUUUAAAGUGAUAGAGAUCAAAACUUGGCUUCAGUUCAGAUCCUUGCAGUUUUCUUAUCCAUAGUGGUAGUUAAAACCGAGUUAACAACGAUAUAAUUCCAGCAGAUAACGCAUGAACAAAACAGUAAUUUCACCAAAAUGUUCCAAAAUAAACACUUACGAAAUACAAGGAACACAUAUACAACAACAACAACAACAAACCUAGUAUAUUCCCACCUAGUGGGGUCUGGGGAGAGUAAAAUGUACGCAGUCCAUACCACUACCUCCGGGGAAGUAGAGAGGCUAUUUUCGAUAGACCCCCGGCUCAAGACAAAAGGACAAAAACUUCAAAAGUAUGUAACAGGAAUAAAAAUAACACAACAAUAAAUUACAUAAACAAACAAUGGCCCCCCUCCCCCCACCCCUAGACCUACCAACGAAGAUACACUGAACCCUCCUAACUACAGACUAUGAAUCGACCACCCACCAUAGGAAUAUUAGGAUGCUUACUAAGUUAAAACAUCCAACCACAAACACAAGAGCUAUCAAGGUAUGAUUACCAAAAGUUCCAAUAUAAUUUGUGGCUACUGUUGUAUUUGUUAAAGAAAGUUCUUCAUUUAUAAUUAUAUGCAACAUCACUUCCUUUAAGUGAAUAUUUGAAAUAAGAACAAAAUAAGCAAAUGAGAGAAGGCAGAAAAGUAGAGAAGUGGAAAAAAGCCCAGGGCACCCAAAGUACUCUUUACUUGUGUCAUUUGUAUUACAUAUAUCACAUGAGGAAAUUACAUAUAAUUAAAUUUAUCUUAGUACAGAACAGAUGGGAUUCUAUUAAAGUACCUGGAGAUCCUCUGGGAGGUACAGGUGCUUCAU